GAUAGAGAUUCUAAUUCUAUUGCAUUAUCGCGAUAAUGCAUGUUUGAUGACGCAAUCUACCCGCGAAAAUUAGAGCAACGAGCUGCAGCCGGCUGCAACGCAUCAUCUUAAAUAAACAUGGCUGAAAACGUCAGCGAAACAGAGGAGCUCGUGAAAAAGACUGGUGCAACAUCUGUUAUUUGGACGUGGUUUGGCUUUAAGCCGUCCGACGAGCAGCAGCAAAAUAUACUCUGUAGAAUGUGUGGGGCAUACGUUCCAGCUAAGAGAGGUAACACGACUAAUCUGUUCUACCACCUCAAAACUAAACAUUUGGAGUAUUUUGUAUUUGUGCCAAGCCGCAAAUACUUCACAGAAACAGAGAUGCCAAAAUUGUAUGCCGAGCUCCGCGAAAAUGUUGAAAAAGAGCUGUGUGACUUGAAAUACUUUGCUACUACAACGGACCUGUGGUCGAGCCGUAUCUCGUAUUGGAACCUUGGCAGCCGGUGUUUGCAGACGUCGUACUUCCUCGCUGAACAAACGGCCGAGGAGAUCGCACAAGGACUCAAGGAAGCGCUUGAGUCAUGGGGUUUUUAAAGAAGAACGCCAAGUUUGCAUUACUACUGAUAACGGAACGAACGUGGUCAAGGCAGCGUCUCUGAAUGAUUGGACCAGGCUGCAGUGUUUUGGACACAGGCUGCACCUCGCCAUCGAAAAAAGUGUGAAAGACCCCCGAAUUGACCGUGCUGUUGGCGUAUGCAAGAAAAUUGUGAGUGCCUUUUCAUACUCUUGGAAAAGAAGAAAGGAGUUGAAGAAAGCCCAGGCAGAGCACCAUCUUCCCUUUCAUCGGCUCAUCACAUCACAGAAACUUUCUAAAAGGCACUACAUUUAGUUUAUUUAUCUGCAACAUUGUGUUGUUUAAUUACAGUUUUGCUUUUGCACAAUAAAUGUUCUCAAAACGA